CUUUGAAAAGAGAGUUAAAUAGUACGUGAAAUUGUUGAAAGGGAAGCGCUUAUGACCAGACUUGCGCCCUGUGAAUCACCCAGCGUUCUCGCUGGUGCACUUCGCUAGGCUCAGGCCAGCAUCGAUUCUUCUAGGGGGAUAAAAGUGGCGGGAACGUGGCUCUUCCGGGAGUGUUAUAGCCCGCUACAGAAUACCCUUGGAGGGAUCGAGGACCGCGCUUCGGCAAGGAUGCUGGCGUAAUGGUCAUCAGCGACCCGUCUUGAAACACGGACCAAGGAGUCAAGCAUUAGGGCGAGUGUUUGGGUGUUAAACCCGCACGCGUAAUGAAAGUGAAUGUAGGUGAGAGCUUCGGCGCAUCAUCGACCGAUCCUGAUGUAUUCGGAUGGAUUUGAGUAAGAGCCUUACCGCUUGGACCCGAAAGAUGGUGAACUAUGCUUGGAUAGGGUGAAGCCAGAGGAAACUCUGGUGGAGGCUCGCAGCGGUUCUGACGUGCAAAUCGAUCGUCAAAUCUGAGCAUGGGGGCGAAAGACUAAUCGAACCAUCUAGUAGCUGGUUACCGCCGA
rnacentral:rRNA from 1 species